GGAAAGGCAACUUUGAUAAUACAUGAUUCUGUAAACAGAUUACCGAUCUGUUCUUGGUAUUCAUGAUGACAUAAUCCGCUUGAUGAGGAUGAGAAAUCAAACUAGAUCUUUAUGAGACCGUCUUGAAUCAUCCGCUUGAGAUUCCAGGUAUCGUCCUUGCACCUAUAAGACCAAUACGCCCACCCAAAAGUGGCACGCCCGUAAACAUCUUGCUGAGCCUUGGCAAACUUUCCCGAAUCCUCCUUUGUUGCCCCGUCGAAGGCCAAUGCCGAGGUCCAUUCCCCUGCAAAAACCAAUUUAGCUCGCAAAUGUCAUUACAUGUAUGUGCUCUAGCACACGCGUCAUGUGUACCUGUAUGCUCUAUAUUAAACAUGCUCCCGUUGCUUUCUAACCACACGGUAGGACUCACCAACAAAGCUCAAGGAGCUGUUUUCCGGGGUUACGUUGCUCAGAUCGGAAGCUCUUUUGUUAUAGAUGUAGUCAAUGUUCUGCUGCAGAUUCCACUGUUGAAACAUCUGAUUAAAGAGGUUGUAGUAAUGCACGUCGAUGACGACUCGGCUCAAGCCUCUCACGAACUAAAGGAGCUCUCGAGGGUCGGCUGGUCCCAACCGGUUGGACAUGAUGACAUAAGCAUUCAGAGUGUGACUUCUCACGGCAUCAUAACCUAACCGGUAGUAUUUAGUAAGAUCCUCCAACUUGACACCCGGAGUUAGAGGCUCGUUCAUCAGCUCGAUCGCAACCAAUGCCGGGUGGUUGCCAUAUCCACUUGACAAUCAUAAGGGGAGAAUGCUAUGAAACAUCUGAUUAUAAGAUCUAGCAUACUAAAUAUUAAUACCAAUGGUUGCGAUUCAUCAGCAAUACUACAGAGAUAUUUGUCAUGAGGGAUUUGUUUAAAUUGAGAACUCAUCUGCCAGACCUUGCUGCUAGGAAGUCUAUAACUUUCACGGUCUCCUCAAUGUAAGAGUCACCCCAUUCCAGAAAUCCAUCUCUCGAUGCGCUAUGAAAUUGGCCGUUUUGAGAUCCCGGAGCAGCGUGGAGAUCAACUAUAACCUUCAUACCAUGCUUCCUGCAAAAAGAAAAGUUCAAUUGUUCAAGGUUAGACUCACAAGAUUCUUGUAACUUCGAUGGACCGACUUAAGCAAAGACUGGCUUCCUAUAAAGAUCCUCCACUGCACACUUUCUGUUGGAGUUAUUCAACUAAGAUGUAAAAGUAUCGAAAGUCGCUUACGCUGCCCAUGUAAAUGCGUUGUCCAGUGCAUUCAGCGAGCCUCCCACAAAAGGCGCUGGCGGCGCCGGAUCAUACGCAAUCCACCAUCCUACUGGAAUCCUCACGGCAGUUAGACUAUUGGCCGCCAUAAAUUCAAAGUCCUGCUCGGUAAUGUAAUUGUUCCAAUGAUCCUGCAGAGCAAAUUUGUUUAGAGAUUACUGAUCCAUUUAGUCACUGUAUUACUAUUUCAUGCUUACUUUGCCACUAAUUAAUUGGGGAUUACCCGUAGGAGUUUUGGGGCAGCACUGGGGCCAUAUCCAUUUGUUAUUUGGUAUUCACCUUGUAAAACGAAGGUAAUGUUCAUUUCAAAGAUCGAUGGGUCAUUGUCAUCCCAACUCGAGCCUCCAGUAUAAUCUGCCGUCACUUCCGUCAGCGACUUUGCCUGAUCAUCCAUACUAUAUUAGAGAAAAUCACAUAAAUCAAUGUGAUUGUAUCCAAUUAAUAACCGGGGAAUAUGGGGACUCUAUCGAUUAUCUUUGAUCAGGAAUUUUGGAUGAUGGAAUGGAAAUGCUUUUGUAAUAAAACAGUUUCUUUCGAUUAAGAGUAAAGUAAUGUCGUUGCGGAUAUGACUGUUCCUUUCAUUUUAUGAGGCCUUGCCGUUGCAAAAAAUGUGUUUAUGGUUUAUAGAGGACGUAAGUUUACUCGUCGUAUUGCGUGGAGCGUCGCUGUUGUUUUUCAAGCAAACUAGGGGUGCUCAUCACGUCCUCUCAGCGUCAAGAAAGUGCGGAAAGCGCCCAUGUAAGACGUCACAGAACAGUAGAUCUCAACGCGAGUGCCAUGCGACGUCACAGAACAGUAGAUCUCAACACGAGUGCCAUGCCGCGUUUCAUACAAACACCAUUGGACUAAUGCAUGACAGUUUCUUAUUUUUAUCAAAGUCUACUUGGGUCUUGAUCUAAUAUUAACGUGAUGGGUGCAAUAAAUUAACAACAGAUAGCUUCGUCUAAUUUCUGCCGUGUAACUGGCAAUGCAGACAAGAACUUUCUAUGGUGCUGCGCUAUUCUGCACAACAACGUAGUCCUGCGAAAUUUGGACGGUCAGAGUGAAGAGAUUAUUGUCAACGAUUUGAUGACAAAUCACCACCGACAGACCGUCAAAUCGAAAACCACUCACUGUCAACCACUGUAUGGGUUAGAAUGAAAUAGUCGUGAAACCCUCUAUGACACCGAAGAUCAGUCAUGUACACCAUAAUACCAUAGUAACUGCAGAAGUCAUAGAAGCUGGAACAGGGGAAUUACCUGGAAACAUCCCAUUAGAUGCUUGAAAUCGAACNNNNNNNNNNNNNNNNNNNNNNNNNNNNNNNNNNNNNNNNNNNNNNNNNNNNNNNNNNNNNNNNNNNNNNNNNNNNNNNNNNNNNNNNNNNNNNNNNNNNUGAUAAUGUCGAAAGUCUCUGAGGCGCUCGGGUUACCAGAAACAGCGACAACCGUUGUUCCUUGGCCUUGCAAUCCCACAAAUUGCUUGUUGAAAACUCUGAGGUUGAAUUUUUUGUCGGAAAUCCUCCACAGCUGCACCAUAGGAAGUGAGCGAAAAUUAUGUUGGAUGGCAUGUGAAUCUUUUGAGCUUGUCUAAUGACGAUUGUCAAUUUGGUGAGACCGAAAGCCACACCCUGAAAGUUUCCCAGUCAGAGGGCUGAUCGCGAUUGGCGACAAGGGUGGCUCCGCCGCCGUUUUCAGCACACAGGAAUUUCCCGAGCUUUGUCGACUUGAACUGCACUUGAGUCCCAUCCUACCAUUGAAACAUAAGCAGGAAAAUGGGAUUUGGUUCAUCUCAUUGGAAGAGUGAAGUGAUAUUUUUAUAGACCAAACAAAUAACAGUGUAUAUGCACAUACUGGGUGGGGGGAACAGAGUUCAUAUAUACAGGUCGAACCAAGUUCAUAUUUGUAUGUCAGAAAUCUGGCAAAAUGAUGGAAAGAAAUGUUUCGUUAGAAACAAGUUCUGUUGACAUUUGGCAUCUUAAUUUGACAAAAGUUUACACCUCUCGUGUUAAAAUCAUGUGCUAGUACAUAUAGACAUAUGCCAAACAAGAUCGUUUUGUAACUGUAUCAUUCUCAAAUAUCUUAAACAUUAAACUGUAUCUAGUGCAGGCAUAUGUCAUAUUGGACCUGAGAAGAAACUUUGCGAUCAUCCAACAAUACUAAUCACGAAACUAUGAUAAAAAAGCAUGCUAGAGAAAGGAUAAUAACAAUCUAUGGAGCAUUACCCGAUAGCUCUUUUUCUCUUUAAAAGCUUACCAAGAGCUGUCCUUUGAGUCCAUCGAACCGAGAAGGCAUCAUCCACCCCUCGGUGACAAGCCAAUUUCCGAGGUUCACAGCCUUGAGGGGCAAGUUGAACUCCGCGGUCUGGGCGAGGAUCGAGGGAUAGAACACCCAAAGAGAACAAAGGAGCAGGAAUGAAUGGUGAUGACAGGGCGCCAUUUCUGGCUCGCUUCUUUGCUGUGACAUUAAACGAGAGGGAGGGCCAACACAUUUAUAGACUUUUACCUAAAAGUCUUAAGGGUUAGAAUAAUGGUUUUGUGUUGACCCAUAUGAAGUAGAAAUUUUAUGUACUUACCAAAUACCUCAUUUUACUCAAAAAAAUUUCCCCAAAAUAGAAAUAGAAAAAAAAACUAUUUCUGAAAAAAAAAAAAUUUAUCCAGUCAAAAAACGUUGUCAUGUGCAACCUAUUUUGCAAAAACUCACUCUACACGCUAAGAUGAAGAAUAUUGCAUUUGGUCUUAAGGCUAUGGAGAUUAGAUCAUUUGGACCGCUAAUGACAUGAGCUCCAAGAUGGAACUCGCAUGAUUAAUAUUUCAUAUGAUAUAUAGCCAGACGUUUUUUGUGACAUUCUGAAAAUUCAAUUCUGAUUUCGAUUGGAUAAGUUAGGCCUUUCAUCGACGCGCCUAUAACGUUUUUCUCUAAGUUUGCCACUCAUGAGAUAACUGACUUAUCAGGUGAAGUCAUUAAAGGAUUUUAAUGUAAUAGACUUGAGAAUUCAACUAGAAAUCAACUGCUCGACCGUGCUAGUCUGCAAGGGUUAUUAUGGCACAAUUAAAAAUCGAUCAAAGACCGAAGAUGGGUCAAUUCGACUGAGAUGUGUGAUUCAAGUGUGGGUGAUUCUACCUUAUUGCAAAAUUCUCGUCGAUCGGCACUAAACUGAUUUUCUGUCAUUUUGGGUACCUUAUGUCCAUAUUUGAAAUUUUGAGAUUUUCACGACCACAAAAAUUCGUCAAUGUGUCGAAGAGGUAUGUAUGGUUCGAAGAAAAUCAAUCAUGGGUCAAUUGCACAAAAAAUUUCUAAAUGCUACUCGGUAGGCUAGAUCACACUAAAACCGUGUCUGAUUGAAAUUAACAGCGAAUUUGAAUUCGAUUUCAGAAAUCGAAAGUUCUAACGUGUCAUGAGUCAUUCUAUGAACGUUGACUCACCUUUUGAGGAAUUUUUAGUGAGUUAGAGAUUUUUACGGAAAUCAAUUCAAACGAUUCGGAAAACGAACGGAAAUUUGAAUUAGCCAAUUUGAAUGGAUUUUUGACAUCUGGUGUGAGUGAAUUGGUGAAAGGAAAUUUCAUGGGCUUUUUCCACAUCAAAUCGGACAUCAAUCGGAGAAGUUCAUUCAUAAAUCGGAUUCCAAGAAAAAUGAAAUAGAAUUCGGAUUUGAGAGAAAUUCGUGAGAUAGAGGGGCUGUCUCAUUUUGGUCUUCAAUGGGACUUCAAAUUGUGCAAAUUGAUGUUAAAAUUGGCUUAGGAUGACCAAUUAUUCUUGUUGUGAAGCUGAGUAAAAAUAUAACUUGUUUUAUUUAACUUCUCCUCCCCCUCAUUGGUCCUUCUAUUUUUUUCCAUCCCUUUUGACAGCAAGAAGGACUUGCAUUCUGCUGCUCUAUCAAAUUUCUCAGGUAUUUACGUGCAAGUCUUGAUGACAGUAGGCACGUGGACAUUAUCUUCAAUGCGUUCUAGUUUGAGGGUCUCAAAUGAGAUGGGGGAAAGGAAACAUCCAAGCUGCAAAAUUCGGCACGGCCACAUGCUUCGCGCGGAUCUGCGCGGUUCCACGCCUUCUCUGUAGCUAGCAAAUAUGUCGGGGUUGUCCACNNNNNNNNNNNNNNNNNNNNNNNNNNNNNNNNNNNNNNNNNNNNNNNNNNNNNNNNNNNNNNNNNNNNNNNNNNNNNNNNNNNNNNNNNNNNNNNNNNNNUUGCCAGAGUUUUAGAAGCAAUGUAGUUACAUCAACGCCAUACCGAGUUUUCAUGCUGACAAUGUUUUCUAACCCGUGUCCUCCCAUUCAAUCAUGGAUUUGAAACUUUUCAGGCUAAAUUUGCAAAACUUCAAAAUGUUUAAGAUUAGAUGGACACAAAAAGAAAAAAAAAAGAUUUAUAACUAAAUUUGCACAAUUAAAAGAUUUAUAACCGAAUUGACCGCCCUAAAUAGAUUUAUGACUUUUUGGAUAAUUAAUUUUUUUUUUUGUAAUUUAAUGUAUGUAGAAGUAAGAGCUGCAUUUGUUUCACUUCUCUUUCGGCUUAGACACUAAUUUUUUUUUUUGACCAUAUUAUAUCUUGUGGAGUCCACCAAUUCUCGUGCAACUCUAUAAAAGUGAUUUCUUUUUUAUCUAGUCAUUUGUUUCUUGUUUUUCCUUAUGGGUCUCACUUUAUUUCUUCUUCUUUCUUUUCACACCUUUGACAUCUCAGUUUGUUAUUCACUUUUGCAAAUCGUCUCUCUCGCAAGCCAUUAUCUUCCUUCUACACCUCCCACUUCUUAUACUUCUUCUUCUCCCACAAAUAAGCAUUUGCAAUCCUUAAAAGAACUGCUUAUUUCAACAAUUUGUGCCCUCGUCAUUCGCUACCAAAAGUAUGGUCCUAGCGAAAGCCUCUUUUUUUCUUUUUUUUUUCCUUUUUGGUUCUCUUGAUCUCAAAUCAUGCUCUUUCCAAUCGCUAUUGAGUGUUUCUUGAUAUCUUUUCUUAAAAAGUGAAUUUUAGUUUUGGAUCGUAGAAAUGCUUGAUCAUGGGUUUCGAUCUUAUGAUUAGAGUGUAGCAUGCAUCAAAAUAGUGCUUGUGAAUUAACUGUGCAGUUACUUUAUGGUUUGUAGUGUAGUUGCAUCCUAUAGACCGUUGCUCCCUCUAGGUUAGUUUCUUACUAUGUUUCCAUAAGUUAUUUAUCAUUAGUUUUGGGUUGCUGUGUUACUUCUAAUUAAUUGAUAUGUUGGAAAUAAUGACACAAGAUAAUCGAGAGAUGAUUUGCAAAAUGAAAAGUGUAAGGAGAAAAAAGAAAAAUAAAAGAAAAAUAAAAAGCAUGAAAUAAAAAUAAAAACACUAUAAGGUUUAACAAAAAGUGACGGAUCCCAUAAAGGAUAAUAUGGUCAAAACAACAAAAGAAAGAGUGUCUAAACCAAAAGAUGAGUGUAAAAAGUGCCGCCCAAAACUAAACGUAGAUUUGUCCUUAGCAGCAAUACAUGGCAUUGGUUAAUUUGCCAAAAGAGCUAUUGAUCAAGUCUUGUUUGCAUAUAUCCAUUUAUAAUUUGAAGAAAUAAUUAGUUAGAAAAAAAAAAGAAAAAAAAACCCAGCAAAAUAAUGUGAAUACUCUUCAAACAAUCUUAGCAAAAGAAAAAAUACAUACACAUGUGCGCGCGUGAAUAGGACACUUGAUGAUCACCUCUUUCAAUUAUUAACCUAACGUACUAAACCCACAUGAAUCCUGGCCCCAUGCCCCGCCAUUUUCUCCCCCACCCAAUUUGUAAGGGGAAAAUACUUACCGUUUGGGUUGGGGCCCGCUGCACCCCUCGCCCAUUCAUAUGGGAAUCUUUACUUAACACCAUGGAUACACACCAAAAUAAAACAAACAAAAAGAUUUUGAUUCUCUAACUCUUUUGCAAAAUGCGAUGCUUGUCGUGAUCGAAGAGACGUCAAACAGAAUUAAUUUCUUGGAUCAAUUUCUCGUCAAUAAUCACCAUGAGAAGGCCAUCGUCAAUGACACCAUGCAUCAAUCAAAGAGAAUAUGAAGUCAGUAAAACUCUCGGUAUUCUCAAUUCUCAUUACGGGUCAAAGCUAACCUUAACAGCUAGCAUAUGAACUUAUGUCAUGUAAAUCAUAUUAAAAUGUCUUCAGAUUGGACAACGGUAAAGAGCAUUUCACAGCCACGUCUCAGACACAUUUUAUCGAACAAGUUUCGUGCGUUGUAUGAAAGAUAAAACUGAGCAUCAAUGAAUUCGGACUACAAUUACAUCCACCCAGAAACAGCCUGCGAUAUGUCUAAUCGUUAACAUAGACUCAGAAAAAGUUGAUUCGACCCUAAUCUGAAACACGCUAUCUCGGCUCUUCUCCUUCACCAGAAAAAAGCACAACAGGAUAAGAGGGUUGUGUGGAUUGAUGACAGAAGCUUCGAUCAUCAUUAAGGAUCGAAGUCGCGGCCAAGGAACAGAUCUCGAGCGAGACCUAGUCGCUUCACGACUUUAAGCCAUGAACCCGAGCAGAACGGGGCGAGUUCUGUGUUACGUCAAAGGUCGGAACUGGUGAAGGAGGGAUGGGUAGGAGCAGAGCCCUUCAGAGUACUCUGGUCAAGAAAACAAGGGCGAACAGAAGCCUUGGUGCGAUUGCGGGAGGAGUGGGGUGACCAGCAGUGAAGAGCAGCGACGGCCGCGCGUCGUGAGGAAGAAGACCAACGGUGAGCGGGGUCGAGAAAGAGAGACGAAAGGGAGAAGAGGAUGGGAUUGGACGUGGGCUAGAGAAGAGACAGGCCGAGCGGGGUUGCUAGGUCGCGGGCUGGGCCCAAGCGGGCUGCUAAGGCUGUGCAUGGUAACCUUCCUCAGCCCAAAAAUUUCUAUUCUUCUCUUCCCCGGAACAAAAAAAGAAUAGAAACCUGUUUGAUAACGGCAAUUUAGUUUUUUGUUCCCGGGAACAAAAAGUUAGCCCGGGAAUGGUUUUGGAAUAGAAAUGAGAAGUAAAAAAAAGUUGCUUCUUGUUCCCGGGAACAAGUUUAAGAAAUAAGUGAAUUUUUUUUUUCUUUUAUUCUUCUCUUGCUAACCGCCAUUGACCGCCGUUGACUGCCGCCCGCCGCCGCCGCCGGCCGACCGCUGCCGCCGCCUGUCGCCGGAGGCCGACCGACCGUCGCCGCCAGUCGCCGCCGGCCGACCGACCGCCGCUGCCGGCCGACCGACCGCCGCCGCUGCCGCCGGUUGCCGGAGGCCGACCGACUGUCGCCGCCGCCGGCCGACCGUCACCGCCGCCGGUGGCCGGUGGCCGACCGUUGCUGCCGCCAUCGCCGGAGGCCGAUCGACCGCCGCCACCACCAGCCGUCGCCGGUCGCCACCGAUCGGCGACGUGCGGCAGCAGCGGCGUCCGGCGGUGGCGGCGGUCUACCGGCAAAAAAAAUAAAUAAAUAAAUAUAAAAAAGAAACUGUUUUUUACCAAACGCAUUUCUAUUCUUUUUCUAUUUUUAGAGUAAAAAUUUUGUGUAGUUACCAAACGGGUUUUUUUACAUAUAAAUUCUUCCCCAUAAUAGAAAUAGAAAAGAACUAUUUCUGAAAAGAAAUUGUUCCCCGGCCAAUAAAUGUUACCAUGCACAGCCUAACCAGCCCGAUUCAAUUUUUCUUUUCUUUUCUUUUCUUUUUCCUUUUUUAACAAGGAGAUAUGGUUCGCCGGACCAGCAAAAUUAAGUUUCAACAAUUACCCACUACUUUCUCUUCAUCAAGUGACCACUUAAUUCAUAUGCUUAUAAUAACUAUUUGUCACAUAUCAGCUCAAUUAAAUAAUCACUCAAUUCCUAAAACGACCGGGUCUUUUCUCUAUGAAGGUGAAAAGAAGUAGCCUAUAUUAAAUAAUCACUCAAUUCCCAAGGGCACCGACGAUCACGCACAUACGUCGUGUGUGCCUCAACAUUGGCCUAUAUAUUAAACCAAAAGCGAGAUUUGCUUUUUCAUGGUUUAAUAUUAUCCCUUGAACAAAGAAAAGAAAUAAGUUCCCACAAGAAACAAGUAUAAAAUUUUAAAUUGGAAGUUAAUAUCUUUAGAAUUGAAUUCUAUUCACUAAAAAAAUUGGAGAACUCGAUGGGUACCUAUGAACUCACAAAGGAUGCCCUUGCCAUGGCUUCGUGCAACAAAGAAGAGAACCCACCAUAUCUCGGUUUUGUUCCCAUAAUUAGAUCAAAUAGGCCUGUAAGAUUGACAUUCAUUAUUUGUUUUCUACUUAAUUUGAAUCUUGCGAUUUUUGCACAUUUCGCUUUUUUCCUUAUAAAUCCGAAACAUUCGAAACCCUCAUAGCAUGUGCAUUUUAACAUGUACAUAUAAUUCUUCCUUGGUUGAAUGCAUAAAGGAUGAUGAAGGAGUUUUUAGAGCAUCCAUUCUAGAUGGGAAUUGUCAAAUUAGUGCUAGAAAGUUGAACUUUAUUAAUUGUUUUUACUUUCAAUAUUAUAUCAAGGAUGUAAUAGGACUUUUCUACAUAUCUAAGAUAUGGAAGUCUUCUCCGCUUUUCUUGAAAGGCAUAUUGGUAAAGUUUAUGGUGGCAAUUUUCAUUUCAUAGAUAUGCGUAACUCUUGUAACCACCAUUUGGUAUACAACUUUGAAUAAUUCAUAACAUUGUCGGACUAUGACGGCAAGUUUCACUAUAUAGAAAAUACAGGGACUUGUAGAAUUCCAUAUUUUUUGGUCGAGCACAACGCCUCUAAGAUAGCGGUGCACUUAAUUAGAAUUGUUAAGAAGUCAAAGUCUUCAUCAAAUGUCGUUGUUGGGGUCAAAGUCUUUGGUGAGAUUUAUUUGGGUGUGGAAAAUUCUUAGUGCCAUAGAAUUUCCUCCUUGGCUAAAUGCAAAAAGGAUGGUGGAAGAGUUUUCAGGGCGUCCAUUUUAGAUGGGUAUUGACAAAUUAGUGCUAUAAUGUAUUAAUUAUUUUCACUUGGAAUAUCAUAUCUAGCAUGAAAUAUGAUUUUUCUACAUAUACACGAUGCGGAAGCCUUCUCCACUUUUUUUGAAUGACGAGUUAGUCAAGUCUAUGGUGGAAAUUCUCAUUUCAUAGAAACACGUGGCUCUGGUUACUACCGUCUGGUAGACGAAAUUGAAUUACUCGUAAUGAAGAAAACGAUCAUUUAUGAACAUUUUCCAGUAAAAUAAUCUUGAAUCUCUAAUACCCCUGUUUACUAUUGUAGGUACAAGUCCAAAAUCUACUAUUCAUUAUUUGUUUUCUACUUAAUUUGAAUCUUGCGAUUUCUACACAUUUCGUUUUUUCCUUUUAAAUCCCAAACAUUCGAAACCCUCAUAAUGUGUGCAUAUUAACAUGCACAUACAACUCUUCCUUGGCCAAACGCAUAAAGGACGGUGGAUGAGUUUUCAAAGCAUCCAUUCUAGAUUAGCAUUAUCAAAUUAGUGCUAGAAUGUUGAAUUUUAUUAGCAAUAUCAUAUCAAGCAUGGAAUAUGAUUUUUUUUCAUAUCCAAGAUAUGGAAGCCUUCUUCGCUUUUCUCGAAAGGCAUAUUGGUCAAGUUUAUGGUGGCAACUUUCAUUUCAUAGACAUGCGUGACUCUGGUAAUCAUUGUUCGGCAUACAACUUUGAAUAAUUCAUAACAUUGCGUGACUAUGAUGACAAUUUUCAUUAUAUAGAAAAUACAGGGACUUGUAGAAUUCCAUGUUUUUUGGUAGCGCACAGCGCCUCUAAGAUAGCGGUGCACUUAAUUAGAAUCAUUAAGAAGUCAAAGUCUUUAUCAAAUGUCCUUGUUGGGGUCAAAGUUCUUGGUGGGGUUUACUUGGGGGGAAAUUUUCAAAUAAGGACCCAAAGUGUCAUCUUUUUUCUCAAAAGAAGACUUAAAGUGAAGUUUGUCUCAAAUAAGGACCCAAAGCGCCAUCAUUUUCUCAAAAGAGGACCUGAAGUGAAGUUUGUCUCAAAGAAAGACCUAAAGUAGUCAUUUAGUCUCAAAGAAAGACCUAAAGUAGUCAUUUAGUCUCAAAGGAGGACCUCACUCACCGGCCAGUGAAUAGAUGCAUCUUCGAUGUAUAUCCCGGUGGCCUAAUUAUGAUAUUUUCGUCCAAUUUUUUUUUUUUUCAUUUUUGGUUGCCCUGUUCAUUGUUUUCUUCAUCUGAUGUUCACUUCUUCUUGCCCAGACCAAGAACACCAGACUUGGGGAAAGGUUAGCGAGCACCGGCCAAUGGUAAGGGCCGGCGAGGGCUCGACGCCUAUCACCGGCAGUGAGCAAGGGCUCGACACCCAUCGCUGACAGCGGGUGAGGGCCAUCGAGCCCUUGCUGGCCAUGGGGGAGGGGGCCGUCCAAAUCGAGGCCCUGCAAGAAGGUCCUCAAGGGCAAAAGGGGUAGCCGAAGAAAUCGUUGAUCUAGGAGCGGUGGUGGGAUGAAGGGAUGAAAAAAGCGAUACGGGCAUCCCAGUCGUAGUCCUAGCAAAAGACGAGGUUGUUAGUGGAGUAGCGGGCGAAGGUGAGGGAGGUCCCCCCUCACGGCCAUCAGCGAGGUCACCCCUCGCCAGCCUUGGGCAAGGGCUCGCCCACCUCACUGGCCACUGAUAAGGGCCGACGAGGGCCUACAAGCCCUCGUCUGUAGCUAGCAAGGGCUCAACAGCCCUCACUGACCGCAGCCAAGGCCACCCUCGCCAGAUCUGACGAGGGUCGACCUGCAAGCCCUUUCCCACGACCGGCGAGGGCUUGGUGGCCCUCACCUACUGCCGACGAUGGGCGUCCAACCCUUGCCAGCCCUCACCAACGGCCAGUGCUCACUGGUCCUUCCCAAGUCCGAUGUUCUUGAGAAGAAAAUGAUAAAUAGUGCCACCAUUGACCCAAAAAAUAAUAAUAAAGAACAAGACAACUGAAAUUUUUUUUAAAAAAAGGACAAAAAUACCCUUGAUCAGGCUACCGAAAUAUGCAUCGGGGAUGUAUCUAUUCACCGGCCGGCAAAUGAGGUCAUUCUUUGAGACUAAAUAAUCACUUUAGGUCCUUAUUUGAGACGGACUCCACUCCAAGUCCUAUUUUGAGAAAAUGAAGGUACUUUGGGUCCUUAUUUGAGAUAAAUUUCACUUUAGGUUCUCUUUUGAGAAAAUAAUGGCACUUUGGAUUCUUAUUUGAAAUUUUCCCUUUACUUGGGUGUGGAAAAUACUUAGUGCCAUAGAAUUUCUUCCUUGGCUAAAUGCUAAAAGGACAGUGGAAGAGUUUUCAAGGCAUCCAUUAUAGUUGGGCAUUGACAAAUUAAUACUAGAAUGUUGAACUUUAUUAAUUAUUUUAACUUGAACUAUCAUAUCUAGCAUAAAAUAGGAUUUUUCUACUUGUACAUGAAGCGGAAGCCUUCUCCACUUUUUUUGAAUGACGAGUUAGUAAAGUCUAUGGCGGCAAUUCUCAUUUCAUAGAAACGCGUGGCUUUGGUUACUACCGUCUGGUAGAUGAAAUUGAAUAAUCUAUAAUGAAGAAAAUAAUCAUUUAUGAACAUUUUCUGGUAAAAUAACAUUGAAUCUCUAAUACCCCCAUUUACUAUUAUAGACAGGUGAGAUGAUAGGUACAAGUCCAAGAUCUACUAUUCAUUAUUUGUUUUUUACUUAAUUUGAAUCUUGCGAUUUCUGCACAUUUCAUUUUUUCCUUUUAAAUUUGAAACAUUCGAAACCCUCAAAAUGUGUGCAUAUUAAUAUGUACAUACAACUCUUCCUUGGCUAAACGCAUAAAGGACAAUGGAGGAGUUUUCAGAGCAUCCAUUCUAGAUGAGCAUUGUCAAAUUAGUGCUAGAAAAGUUGAACUUUAUUAACUGUUUUUACUUGCAAUAUCAUAUCAAGCAUGGAAUAUGAUUUUUCUACAUAUCCAAGAUAUGUAAGCCUUCUCCGCUUUCUUGAAAGGCAUAUUGGUCAAGUUUAUGAUGGCAAUUUUUAUUUUAUAGAUAUGCGUGACUCUAGUGAUCACCGUUCGGUAUACAACUUUGAAUAAUUCAUAAUAUUGCAUGACUAUGGUGGCUAUUAUCAUUAUAUAGAAAAUAGAGGGACUUGUGGAAUUCCAUGUUUUUUGGUUGAGCACAACGCCUCUAAGAUAGCAGUGCACUUAAUUAGAAUCGUUAUUCGGGUCAAAGUCUUUGGUGGGGUUUAUUUGGAUGUGGACAAUUUUUAGUGCCAUAGAAUUUCUUCCUUGGCUAAAUGCUAAAAGGACAGUGGAAGAGUUUUCAGGGCAUCUAUUCUAGAUGGGCAUUGACAAAUUAGUGCUAGAAUAUUGAACUUUAUUAAUUGUUUUAACUUGAAAUAUCUUAUCUAGCAUGGAAUAGGAUUCUUCUACAUGUACACGAUGCGGAAGCCUUCUCCACCUUUUUUGAAUGACAAGUAAGUCAAGUCUAUGGCGGCAAUUCUCAUUUCGUAGAAAUGCAUGGCUCUAGUUACUACCGUUUGGUAGACGAAAUUAAAUAAUCCGUAAUGAAGAAAAUAAUCAUUUAUGAACAUUUUCCGGCAAAAAAACCUUGAAUCUCUAAUACCCUUAUUUAUUAUUGUAGACAAUUGAGAUGAUAGGGACAAGUCCAAGAUCUACUAUUCAUUAUUUGUUUUCUACUUAACUUGAAUAUUGCGAUUUCUACACAUUUCUUUUUUUCCUUUUAAAUCCGAAACAUUUGAAACCCUCAUAAUGUGUGUAUAUUAACAUGUACAUACAACUCUUCCUUGGCUGAAUGAAUAAAGGAUGGUGGAGGAGAUUUCAGAGCAUCCAUUUUAGAUGGGCAUUGUCAAAUUAGUGCUAGAAAGUUGAACUUUAUUAAUUGUUUUUAUUUGCAAUAUCAUAUCAAGCAUGAAAUAAGAUUUUCUACAUAUCCAAGAUAUAAAAGCCUUCUCCGCUUUUCUUGAAAGGCAUAUUCGUCAAGUUUAUGGUGGCAAUUUUCAUUUCAUAGAUAUGUGUGACUGGUAAUCACUUUUCGGUAUACAACUUUGAAUAAUUCAUAACAUUGCGUGAAUAUGAUGACAAUUUUCAUCAUAUAAAAAAUAGAGACUUGUAGAAUUCCAUGUUUUUUGGUCGAGCGCAAUGCCUCUAAGAUAGCAAUGCACUUAAUUAGAAUCGUUAAGAAGUCAAAGUCUUCAUCAAAUUGUUGGGGUUUAAUUGGGUGUUGAAAAUUCUUAGUGCCAUAAAAUUUCUUCCCUGGCUAAAUGCAAAAGGAACAGUGGAAAAGAUUUCAGGACAUCCAUUCUAGAUGGGCAUUGACAAAUUAGUGCUAGAAUGUUGAACUUUAUUAAUUGUUUUUACUUGAAAUAUCAUAUCUAGCAUGAAAUCAGAUUUUCUACAUGUACACGAUGUGGAAGCCUUCCCCACUUUCUUUGAAUGACAAGAUAGUCAAGUUUAUUGUGGCAAUUCUCAUUUCAUAGAAAUGCGUGGCUCUAGUUACUACCGUCUGGUAGACGAAAUUGAAUAAUCAGUAAUGAAGAAAAUAGUCAUUUAUGAACAUUUUCCAGUAAAAUAGCCUCGAACCUCCAAUACCCCUAUUUACUAUUGUAGACAAGUGAGAUGAUAGGUACAAGUCCAAGAUCUUCAGCCGCAAGUAAAAGAUGCAAUCUCUUAAUGACAUUUCAAGCCGACGACUUUUCCAUUCCUUGAUCUACAUGGCGCACAAUUAAAUUGGGCAUCUUCUCAACAAUUUCAUGGUCCAUGAAAUCUUAUGCCUUCUGCUUUGGCUUCUUCAUCCAUUUGACUUCCAUUUUCUCCAUCUUUCUCAUAGUUCUCACAAGCUAUUCAAGUCUUCUAGUUUCACAUGAAAUGGAUGCUAUGGAGAUUCUAAUUACAAUUCUCAAUUAAGAUAAACUGAUUAAAUAUCUUUUAAGUUUGAUAAAAUGCUUGUCAAGUAUGUUACAGUUAUAAAAACUAACAACACAAGUGAUGAUAUUGAGGUUCCAUUACAAGGGUGUCCUCGAUUACUUACAAUCCUGCAUCUUUGUUCGUACUUUCAUAUGCUGUGUAAAAAAAAAAUUCCUCAUAAACUUCAUUCAGAGUAUCGGAAAGGAUGAUGGACAUGAGUGUUGCAGAGGUCGAAAGAGAUCGAGAAUCUCGAUCAGUUUCAGUAACCAUCCAAGGAUGAAAUUGUUCGCAAGGUUCUGUCCAUUGGAAUGAAGUCGUGCAUGAUAAAAUUAUUUAGAAAUGGGUCUGGUCUCAUGGUUCCAGUACACAAAGCGUGGGCCAAAGAUACGAUUGGGCCUACGAAAGCAAGCCCAACCCAAAUACAUUAAGUCGACUCAUAAAAUUGAGGACCAGGCCCAACUCACUUAGACUAAAUCAAGCCCAAAAUUACCAAACACGCUCAAGCCCACCUAUUCAAAGCCCAUUCGAAGGGGAACAAAAAAAUGGAAACGACGAGCUUUAAACAAAGCCAGCAACAUUCAUACGUGACGCUACGGAAAAUCCAAGAGAUCGAGAGCAUUGGACUUAGCUUUAAUGGUCAAUGUCCUCAACGCGAACGUGAGCUCUCGAGACGAUGCAGCGACGGCAACAACAGCGUCCGAAACAACUGCUCAUUCCCGCAUUCAGCUGCAACCAUGGCGAUGAUCUGGAUCGCCAAAUCCGACUCGCAAUUUGACUCGACUCAGCUUCCCGGUCAUGCUCCUAAAGGUUCACGAUAGGGCUUGCUUAAAAAUUGAAAGGACAAGUCCACCAAGUCCGAGCACGGGUGUAAAAGUGAAACCUCUCUCGGACAAUAUGUCAAACAGAACGUGCGUCACUCAAAAUCGCCGUUUCAUCUCAACUCUCCCAUCAAGCCAAAAGAAUCAGUGAACUCACCACCCUCACUUGAACCUUGAAAUCAUGUACAAUCUCGAAGGAGAUGAUAUGGCUCCAAGCUAAGCCUCGCGUGGAGAGCGGAGGGAGGACAGCAGAGAGAGAUUCCGCUCGGCUUCAUUUUCUGAAGACUUGGACCAAACUUCAUCCGAACGAGAGAAAACCAGAAACCGAAGAGACAGUUUCGUGACUAAAAGCUCAGAAAGGUCGUGUUGAUCCCUUCCGACGAGGCGAAAUCUGCGAUUGGACAAACUACGGCCAGCGACAUAGAGGUGGAAUAGAAUGGAGGUGAUUUAGAGUUGAGGCGAGCGCCGGUGAGCUGGAGGUAAGCUUCCGGUGAUGAACUGAGUGGCGACGUCAAACCAGAGGAAGAAGUUGCGGUGGCCGACAACCCUAUUGCAGGAGGAGAAUUGAGAACCGAGAAAGGAAUUCUCGCCUGCCGUCGCUGUGAGCGAGAAGUGACGGCACAAGCGAGGAGGAGUGAUGAUCGAGCGACCGAUUACGAACGACUGUGCUGAGGGAAGAGCUGCCGGUGGCCGCAAGUCGAUGAGAGCCACGAGCAGGAGAGAAUAAGAGCCCCCAAGAGCGAAUUCUCCUCUCUUCCCUAAACGCGUGUGCGCGUUUUCCCUUCGGGAAAAUAAAAUUGAGCAUCAACGAACUCGGAUCACAUCCACCCAAAAACAGUCCGGGAUACGUCUAAUCGUUAACAUAAACUCGGAAAAAGUUGAGUCGAUCUUAAUCCAAAACAUGCUAUUUCAUUUCGGCUAUUCUCCUUCAUCAGAAAAAAAAAGUAUAACAGGGUAAGAGCGUUGCAUUGUUAAUGGACAGAAAUGAAGCUGCGACUAGCAACUGUAUCAACGACGGAAGCUCCGAUCGUCGUUAAGGAUCAGAGUCACGGCCAACGAACAUAUCUUAAGCGAGACCUAGUCGCUUCAGAACCUUAGGCCAUGAAUCCGAGCAGAAGGGAGCAAGUUCAAUGUCACGUCGAAGGUCGGAACUGGUGAAGGUGGAUGGAUAGGAGACGAGCUCUUCAGAGUACUCUGGUCAAGAAAACAGGGGCGAAUAGAAGCCUUGGUGCGAUUGCAGGAGAAGUGGGAUGACGAGCAGUGAAGAGCGGCGACGGCUGUGUCCUGAGGCGGAAGACCAACGGAGCGGGGCGAGAAAGAGAGAAGAAAGGGAGGAGAAGCCGGGUCGGACGCACACUAGAGAGACAGGCCGAGCAGGUGCAGGGUCGCGGCUGGGCCCAAGAGGGCUGGGUCAAACCGGCCUGAUUCAAUUUUUUCUUUUCUUUUUUCAAGUAAAGAUGGUUCGCCAAACCGGCAAAAACUAGCAAAAUUAGGUUUCGACAACUACCUGCUACUUUCUUUUCAUCAAGUGACCACUCAAUUCACACAUCUAUAAUAACUAUUCAUCACAUAUCAACUUAAUUAAGUAAUCACUCAAUUCUUGAAAAAACUUAUUCUUUUCUCUACAAAGGUAAAAAGAAGUAGCCUACGCAAUUCCUAAAGACACCGGCGAUCACAAGCACUUGUUGUGUGUACCUCGACCUGGCCUAUAUAACAAACCAAAAGCGAAUCAUGUCUCACUUUUCUUAUGGUUUCCAUAUUAUCCCUUGAAAAAAGGAAAGAAAUAAGUUCCAACAAGAAGCAAGGAUAAAUUAGAUCUUACUUUGUUCACUUGGAUGAGACUAUACUUAAAUGAUAAAAAGGCCAUAAUAAUAAACAUGUAAUCGGUCCCAUGACACCUCAACAGAUUUACUCAUCAUAUAACAAUGCAAAGAAUGAAUAGUCGAGAUUCUCAUUUUUUAUAAGAUCUACAAGCGUUUCUCAUCCACUUCUUUCUCAUAUUAGCUCAUUUUCUUUCAAGCAACCCUGCGAGCCAUUCAAAAUUUCUAGAUCCGAGAACAAUGUAUCCUAAAGAGACUCUAGCUACGGUUCCACAUCCAUAACCCAUCAAUAUGGAUGUCCACUCAAACCAGCCUUCGUGCCUUGUAUCAUUUUCUUGAAGAAUGGUUACUGGUGGAAUUUCUCGUGGACUGUUUGUGCAUGUCUUUGGCAAUGGAAAUCUGUAUAGUCUAGGAUUCUUGGAAAAUGAGCCGCUCUUGAAUGUGUUGAAUUGCCUUCCUUGAGGAAUAGGUCCGAUGAGCUUUUUCUCUGAGAGGUUCAAGAAUGCAAGAUACGUCAAAUCCGCUAGUUCUUGAGGAAUCCUUCCAAUGAACUUGUUUGAAGAGAGGUCUAGUCAUUCAAGUUCCGUCAAAUUGCCAGUAGACAAAGGGAUAUAGCCUAUGAGAUUGUUGUGGAAAAAGUUUAGCCCUUUGAGCGACUUUAGGUUUCCAAUAUCCAUGGGAAGCUCCCCAACAAAAUGGUUGCUCGAUAAGUCGAUACUUGUGAAAACAGUUAGAAUUUUCACCAACCAUAUCUCCAGUCGUUUCAUGGUCACCAUGAUUGAAUUUUGAUAAUUAUCAUCUCCCAUAUAUUGCAGCUUGCCUCGUCUUUUAUCCUAAUUCAUCAUGGCAGUAAGCUUCAUAAUAUAUCUAAUGGGUAAAGCACCUCUCAGAUUGUUGUUGGACAGGUCGAAGAUGUGCAAUUCAGAAAGCGAGCUUCUCUAGGACUACUUAUGAAGCCAUGGAACAUGUUGGACCUCAAAACAAGAACCCGUAGCUUGAGAAGGGUUCCCAACCACUCGGGGAAUGUAUCCUCGAUUCUAUUGUUGCCAAGAUCCAAAACUUCCAAAUUUUCACAACGUAGCAAGAAUCGUGGCAAUGUCCCUUCAAAUCAAUUCUGACUAAAGUCAAUAGUCCUUAAGUUGCUGUCUUCAGCAAAUUUUCUAGGGAUCACACCGUGAAUCAUGUUCAUGCGGAGGUUAAGGAUCGAGAGAUUUUUUAUAAGGUUCAUCAAGCACUCUGGCAAGGUGCCCAUCAAACUAUUAUUGGACAAGUCAAGGACUCUGAGCUUAGUGGCAUUGCAUAUCAAAGGGGAAACCUUUCCACCAAUCUUGUUGUUUGCACUAAAAUAGAAUCGAGUGGUGGGUGGUGGAAUUGGAAGAGAACCUUCAAAUCUGUUGUUGGAUAGAUCAAGCGUCACCAGAUUCAAUCGAUGGAGAAAAUAUUCUUCAAGCCAUUGACCCCCUAAAUUAUUAUUAGAUAUGGAAAAAUAAUAAAGCAUGGAGGGAACAAAUGGAGCAAAUAAAGGAUCGAUUUGACCAUGGAAUUCAUUGAACUGAAGAGCGAUGAACUGUAAUGAGGGGGCUUCUAGCAACCACUUCAGAAAAGGACAUGUGGACUCCUGGAGUGCCACAACUUUGCACAAAGGGACAUUUAAGUGCCAUAACUUACGAAAGGUACACUUAAGUGCCAAAAUCGGAGCAAAAUUGAUUACUUGAGUGUCAAUCCGGCCAAAUUGCUUACGUGGCAUUUUUCGGCGAUUUCUGGCGACUUCUUUUACUGAUGUGGCAAAUGUUUUUUUUUUAUAAAAAAAAAAAAAAAGCCAACAUGGACAACAAAAACGACAUCGUCCAUCCACAUUGAGUGCGCUGACCUGAACGACAUCGUUAGGUCAUUGUGCACUGACCUAAACGUCGUUCCUCCCCGUCUGCGUUCACAAUAGAUCUCAGGCCCUUCUCUCCGUCGUCGUUCAUGCCCAGAGCUGGUCAUCGGUCGCCGUCGUUAGUCGCCAUUGUUGGUCGCCGUCGCCGCUCACCGCUCACCAUUGUUGGUCAUCAUCACCACUCACCAUCGUCACUUGUCCAAGUUCGACCCUUUCUCCCCCUCCCUUGUAAUGAAAUUAAGGCUUGAUUAUUUAAUUAGGGCUCGCUCGAUUAUUUUAUUAGGGCUUGAUUAUUUUAUUACAGCUUCAAUGGAAUUUGUGUUGAUACACUUCAACUGAAACUUGCUGACAUCACACAUAGAGACCAGAUUUCUCAUUAUUUUCAUGAAUUUUUCUUUCAAGUCAAUGUCAGAGUAUGCUUUGAUUGUUGAGUCACUAGCUAUGUAUCUCUUUAAGAGCAUCCUAAUAAAGCAGGUGACUAAUGCAUCUCCGAGAAGAAAAUUAAGUCCUUGAACCACCCUGCUUGUGAGGCUGUAUAGGGUAUGUCCUUGAACCACCCUGCUUGUGAAGCUGUCUAGGGUAUGUUUAUCAAUCCAAAAUCCUGAAUGAGAACAUAACAACUGUAGGUAGAAUUUUAUUGGUAAAGUUACAAACUAAGAAAAAGUUUCAAGCAUGAAGAAUAAGAACUUGAAAGGGUAUUAAAGCAUGUUUUUGUGAAGCUAUUUCCUGGAAUUGGCUCUGCAGCUUGCGUCAGUCUUCUUUGAGAAAGGUAUUGCCUGCUUGUCCAAAUUUGUUAUGGGUUAGGAUAGUCUAAGACUUUGGAGUGAUUUGUCUGUGCUUCAUUUUCUCUUUGUUUUUCUUUAACUUUAGCGACAUAAAAUGCUUCCAAGUUUAGUUGUUCUAAUUUUAGUUUAAAAUUCUAAAGGAAUUUGUAGGAGUCAGCGGCUGUGAUUUGAUUAAGUUGAUGUCAGAGUAUGCUUUGAUUUGCUUAAGUUGAUGUACAUUCUCUCACAUUGCAAGUUUAGUGCAGUAGACAAAAUUGCUUGGGCUGUGAUUGUUGUGAGGACCUGCACUUAUUGUGGGGACCUCUGUUUUUUGUUAAUAUUUUAAAGGAAGGGAAGUUAAAUAAUUAAAGUUCCGACCUCUUUUUUGGCUGUCAUGUAGGGGCAUAUUGUUAGUGUGGGGACCUCUAUUUACUAAAGUCCAUGAGAGUGGGGGGACUCCCAUGUGCAAUUGUUUAGUGGUCCCAAAAACUAAUGAUUAUUUUUCUUGUUCUUGGUGCAGGAAUGGCUCAUGACAGGGAUUAUGUUGCCGUCAUAGUUUGCUACGAUGGGGAAUUUGUGAUUAGGGAGGAUGAGUGGGAGUAUGAGGGUGGAAAUGAGGGCACUAUCUUUGUGGAUAUAAAGAAUGCAUCUUAUAUAGGAUUUCUUAGGAAUAUAAAGACUUAUUUGCCUUGUAAAGUUUAGAAGUUGAUGUAUUGUAUUUCUGGGAAAGACUUAAGAGAUGGUUUGAGAUGCUUAAAAGAUGAUAAUGGUCUUAGGGAUGUUCUAUACUAUUAUCUUCAUGGUGAAGAGGUAAAAAUAUUUGUUGAGUACAAUAGUAAAAGUGAGGAUGAAGAUGAUGAUGGAGAGAGCACCGCAGUAGCACAAAAAGGAGAUGGUAUUCAAGCUUGAGAUCGAUGAGCUCGAGAUUCAUCUAGCAACUAGCCAAAAAAGAAGAAGAUGGGAAACAAAGAAAAGAAAAUGAAAAAAAAUGAAAAACUGAAAAGAAAAUGAAAAGAAAUAGAAAAGGAAAAAGAAAUUAAAAAUAAUUUGAAUUAAAAUAGAAAAAGAAAAUUAAAAUAUAAUUCGAAUAAAAAAAGAAAAGAAAAAGAAGAAAGGGGAAAAGGAAGCGAGGAUUUGUAGAAGUGUGAAAUAAAAUAAAUUAAGUGAGGAAAAUAUUUUCCACUUUUCAAAAAUGGGAAAUAUUUUCCCCUAAUUUAUAAAACUUUUUUCCUUUCAUAGAAAACAUUUUCCCUAAGAAAUUCAUUUUCUGUGAAACGAACGCUAGAAAAUCCAAAAAACGUUUUUUCGAAAAUUAUAUUUCACGAAACGAACAAAGCCUAAGAUAAAUAAUAUUACAUUUGGUCUUAAGACUAUGGAGAUUAAACAAUCCGCUGUCCUUUUAAUAUUGCAGCAGGACGCAUUAUAUGGUUAAAGAUAGAAUAUGCGCAUUAAGAUAAAAAAAAUAUUGCAUUUGGUCUUCUUUGCUGUGACAUUAAACGGUCCACUGUCCUUUUAAUAUCGCAUCUGGAUGCAUCAUAUGUUUAAGACAGAAUAUGCACUGUUGCCCUUUCCUCUUGUAAGGAACCAACGAAACUUGUUAAAAACGCUAAUGCUCCGAGGCCGGCUGAAAUGGAUCCAUGGUAUUCGACCAUUCCCCUUGGUCAAAGGCAUCAUUCCGUGCGAUGGGGGAUGUACGGUCGGUGCGUGAGUGCCGAUGCAUGGAGCCAACAGCCUUCCGUUUUGUUCUUGUCUUUGCUUGGAGGAUCGUUUUGUGGUUAGUGAUUUCUCAAAAGAGAACAGAAAAUCUGGGAAGAAUUGCUUUUCCGAAGUCAAAAGUAGCGUGAGGACAAAAGGAACAGGCACCUACCCCAAGCGACCAGAUUCCAAGGGUUUUGGGAAAUAGGCGAGGAUUUGACAGAGCACUUGGAAGGGGAGAAAAGGAACCGGUACCCCAUACUCGCUAGUGUCGUGUGCCCAUAUGGGAUACCUAGGGUACUAGGUCCCAUUCCAAUCAGGACCGACGAUUCAUGUUUUUACACUGCGCUCGCGUCGAUUACUAUGUCAUUACAAUAAUAUUUUGGCACAACCGCAAGAUGUUAUUUUGGCGAACGUAUCAAUUCGUUUGAGUUUCGAAUUAGGUCUACUUUAUCGAGUUUUAAUUUUACUCUAUAAAUUCAUGCCAUGGUCAUAUUGUGUUCUUGCGUCGCAUCGAGGAUUACCACCUUGGUUGCACGUCGGAUUUUUUUCUUCUUUUUUUUUUUCUUGCACGUCAGAUUUUAACACAUUAAAUUUUGUUGCGGAAUAAUGCACCGAAAAUCCUAAAUCCAAAUCAUUCUAAUUUAGUCUAAUAUCACAAAAAAUCCCAAAGUGACUUUACUAUAUGUAACAUCCCGGGCCCCAUUGUGUAAUAUUGUCCGCUUUGGGUCACCCGCCCUAGCGCGGACAAACCACCAUCCCAGCCACGGUCUUUUUCCUCACGGCUUUAAAACACGUUAUACAGGAUAGAGGGACCCAAGCCUUAUAAGCUAACCAAGACCUCCCUCCCUAAGCAAUGUGGGACAAGAGAAGAGGCUGUCACACUCUCCACCUCUUAAUAGAACAGCGUCCCCACGGGCGUCAGAACAGCUCAGAACAGCAUUCGAGAGCUGUGGUCCCACACGCGGUUUGGCCCCACGGGCGUCAGAAUAGCUCAGAACAUCAUUCGAGCUGUGGUCCCACACGCAAUCGGGAGUCGGCUCCGAUAUCACUUGUAACAUCCCGGGCUCAGAACAGCAUUCGAGAGCUGUGGUCCCACGCGCGGUCUGGCCCCACGGGCGUCAGAAUAACUCAGAACAUCAUUCGAGCUGUGGUCCCACACGCGGUCGGGAGUCGGUUUUGAUACCACUUGUAACAUCCCGGGCCCCACUGUGUAAUAUUGUUCGCUUUGGGUCACCCGCCCUGACGCGGACGAAUCGCCAUCCCAGCCACAGUCUUUUCCCUCACAGCUUUAAAAUGUGUUACACAGGUUAGAGGGACCCAAGCCUUAUAAGUUAACCAAGACCUCCCUCCCUAAGCGAUGUGGGACAAGAGAGGAGACUGUCACACUAUAAACUAAUUUUGUGACCAAUUAAUACACCUGCAAUAAAUUUACUCAAAACUAAUUUUUUGAACAUCAAAAAUCCUAAAUUAGUAAAUUUGUAAUAAGUUUACCCUCCUUUUUUAAAAAAAAAAAAAUUAGAGUAAUUCACAAUUAUGAUAAAUGGAGAAUAAAACCCAAAAUUGAUAUAUUUGUGAAAUGCCACAUGCCAUUCAACUCAACAUUUGACAAUAAAAUUUAAUAAAAACUAACAAAUGGUAAAUUUGUCACGAAUGUAUAAGUUUAGGAUUUAUUGUAAUAAAAAUAAUUAAUUUAGGUUUAAUUUAUCAUAGUUGUACAAAUUUUGGUUAGUCAUAACCCCUUAAUUUAUUCAAUUUUAUCUUGGACCUUUUUUUUCCAAAAAAAAAAAAAUACAAUAAAACCCUUUCAAUGAAUUUUCAUAUGAAACUGCCAAUGUGUCACUAAGAAAUAAUAGGAUAAGUAUGUUGGAAGUUUUAAAAAUGGAAGUACAAUUGAGUUAUAAAACUUUCAAAAAGUGCAAUUAAGUCCUAAAACUUAUUACGGAAAUGCAGUUGAGCCCUAAAAAUUUUAAAAAGUACAAUCAAGUCCUAAAAUUUGUUAGAUUAGUCAAAUCUAAGUUAUUCCGUUGAUUGUACUUUUUGAAAGUUUUUAGGCUUGAUUGCAUUUUCAAAAUAAGUUUUAGGACUUGAUUACAAUUUUUGAAAGUAUUAGAAUUCAAUUGCACUUUUGUGACAAAUUUUAGGACAUCUAAUACUCUUAUAAAAAAAAUCUACAUAGGAUCCUUAAAUUGCACUUUUCAACGUAAGUUUUAAAACAUAAUUUCAUUUUUAAUUGAACCGAAUGAAUAUUUUAGGACUCAAAUAAACUUUUAUCAAAUGAUAAGGACUUGAUUGAACUAACUAAAAAAUUUGAGACUUGAUUGGAAUCCGUACAUAAGAUUUAGGACUUGUUGACAACUGUACCUUUACGAUCCUACCAUUCAACUAUGUUCUUAUUUUUGUAAGCCAUAUCAUAUUUCGCAUAUAUGAUCAAUUUGAUAGACCUACUCGAUCUUACAGGGAAUCUUCUACGGUUGCACACUCAAGUUAUUACUUUUUGAUCUCGUGUUGUUGUUGUUCAUGAAUAACUUGAUUAUUUUGAUACACAGAUAGAAAUAUCACUCAUAAGGAACUCAUUUGAAAAACUACUACGUAAGAUAUUUAAAUAGUUAGUGAACAUGUCAUAUCAUGGAGUCAUCGUAGGCAGCUUGAAUGUUACUAAUUUUUAUAUUAUUAAAAAAAAUACAUCGUAGAAUAUCGGUAUAAUAACUUGAUAUUUAAUAUAAGACAAAUAGAGAUUCAAUCAAAAUGCGUCAUGAAUUGUCUUCAAUCAUAAUAGACUUUUAUUAAAUGAUAAGGACUUGAUUGAACUAACUUCAAAAUCUGAGACUUGAUUGUAAUUUGUACAUAAGAUUUGGGACUUGUUGACUAUUGUAUUGUUAUGAUCUUACCAUUCAACUAUGUUCCUAUUUGUGUAAGUCAUAUCAUAUUUUGCAUAUAUGAUCAAUUUGAUAUAACUACUAGAUCUUAGAGGGAAUCUUCUACAAUUUCACACCCAAAUAUUACCUUUUGAUCUCGUGUAAUCGUUACUCAUUAUAACUUGAUUAUUUUUAUACGCAGGUAGAAAUAUCACUCAUAAGGAACCCAUUUGAAAAACUAUUAUGUACAAUAUUUAAAUAAUUAGUGAACAUGUCAUAUCACAGAAUCACCGAACUCGGUGAUAGAUUUAGCCGAUUGACUUGUAUGAUACUACUUUUCAUAAUUAAAAAAAAAAAGUCAAAGAAAGUCAGUAUAAUAAAUUGAUAUCAAAUAUAGGACAAAAUGGAGAUUCAAUCAAAAUGCAUCAUGAGUUGUCUUCGACCUUUUUCCACCAUUGCGGGAAACUCAUCCAUCUUCAACAAUCGCUUCUCAGCUAGUGAAUCAUUUUAAUUCCUUUUGUGAUUAUUUUCUUCAAAAACAGCUAAAACUAGUUACUCUCUCGAUAUCUAUCUUUUACGUAAUAUUUAUAAAAAUUUUGAUCUUGAGCACUUCAUGCAAAUUAUACAUCAUGCUAUAAGUUAUCAGAAAAAAAGAAGUUGCAUUGUCUUUUCUUUUUAGCCAUCAAGUUAUCUUUUAGCAACUGGUCACUUCAAACAUACUUAAAAUUAUAUUUGGGAGUAUUUUACAAAAAGAUAAUGAAGAGAGAUAAUUGCAACGGGAUUAGUCAUUGUUUAUAAAAGUUGCUCGGCCAUUCAAGGAGCCCAAAAUCCAUUGAGGAAAUUGGGCUUCCCUAUAUUAUGAAGGAUCUCUAUUGAGUAUUCCUAUAAAGGACCAAAUUUCGAAAAAGCCCUAACUUUAGGUCCAAUCUCAAUUAUUUCUCAAAUUUUUGUUUACUAAAAAGAAAUUUCCAACUUUUACUCUAAUUCCAAAUUUAUCCAAAAUUUCUUAAUAGUUGGACGGUAAUGUAGAUGCAAAGAUUUAACCAAAAGAGUUGUUUGAACUACUCUAUAACACCUCAAAUUUUAUGAACUACAAUUCGCUAUAUAGCACCUUGAAAUCCUAGGUUUAGGUAAUCCACAAUAUACAAACACGAUCAUAAACUUAAAACACUAAAUUGGAGUUACUACUAAUUGAUUUGGAUUAUGUCAAUUGGACAUCUAAAUGUAUGUGAUAAGGAAAUUGGUGUUUGAAAAUCUACAAAUCUUAAGUUGGGGAUUCGAUGACGCAUCAGAUGGAUUCACAUCCGGCAAUGAUCUUUUAAUUCAGUUUGAAAUAUAUUAUGACCAUAAAAAAGAUAAAAAUGGCAAUUACGAUUUUCUGUGAAAAAAAUAUAGAGGGACUACUGUUUGAUUAUCCUCACUAACAAAAUUGUGAAAAAAGAAGAAGGAAAAAGUCAUGGCCUUAUCUUUCCUCCGACAAACCGACAUCACCAUUGAGAGAGAAAAUCGAACUUUCUGUCGGUGAAUAUUCUUUUUUUUUCACCAGAAAAGCACAAUAGGACUAAUCAGUCACUUUCAAUCUUUCUGGAAUGCCAAAAAGAAGGAUGUGGUGGAAGCAUGCUCAAGCUCAAUCUUAUUUUAUUCAAAUAAAGUCACUGGAAAGGCAACUUUGAUAAUNNNNNNNNNNNNNNNNNNNNNNNNNNNNNNNNNNNNNNNNNNNNNNNNNNNNNNNNNNNNNNNNNNNNNNNNNNNNNNNNNNNNNNNNNNNNNNNNNNNNNNNNNNAUCAUCCGCUUGAGAUUCCAGGUAUCGUCCUUGCACCUAUAAGACCAAUACGCCCACCCAAAAGUGGCACGCCCGUAAACAUCUUGCUGAGCCUUGGCAAACUUUCCCGAAUCCUCCUUUGUUGCCCCGUCGAAGGCCAAUGCCGAG
rnacentral:lncRNA from 1 species